rnacentral:lncRNA from 1 species
AAAAUAUUGGAACAUCCCACAGCCUAUUGAGCUCUCCUGUACUGCAGGCUGUGUGCCAGUGUGCCAGGAUCUUCUUGAAGAGAGAGAUGACUCAAGGUUACUCCUUGAGGUUGAGAGAUUCCUUACCUCUGACAGAUACUGGACGCAGAGCAAAUGUUGUCAAUGUCACCAAAGGCAAGAUCUUGGAAAGAAUUUAAGUACCUGAAGUGGAAGAGCAGCACAUUUGAAGUCUAAGUCUAAACCUGUGUGGUCGAGAUCCCGCAGAGCUCUUUCUUAUAUUUGACAGGUCUGUAAUCUGUAAGCACUUCAAUUCUUGACCUUAAAGUUGCCCAGAUGCUUAAAUCACUGCUACUGCAGUUGUCAGAAGUAUCUCAAUCCUGGUAGUUCAGCAAUUCAACUCUAACUCAAGGAUCCAGAAACUAGGCACCUACUGCCUUCCGUCUUUGAGAGGUAUGAUCUGCUAAGCUUCCUAAGACAUACUGAUAACUGAGCAUGCAGUGAUAGCUGCUGCUUUCUUUCAAAGCACAACUAGAGGAUAAACCUCCCUUUUCACUUAGAGAUUUGGUUAUUUUAAUACGACAGUGUGAACCCAGGUUCAGUUCUUCCUUUCCUGAAAAAGUAAAUAAAUCUUAUGCUUCUUAGCUCUUUAGACUCA